GCGGCGGACGGGUGAGUAACGCGUGGGUAACCUACCCCAAAGUCCGGGAUAACAGCGGGAAACCGCUGCUAAUACCGGAUGCCUUUACCUUGGGGCAUCUUGAGGUAAAGAAAGGUAACGCUUUGGGAUGGGCCCGCGUCCCAUUAGCUAGUUGGUGAGGUAACGGCUCACCAAGGCGACGAUGGGUAGCCGGCCUGAGAGGGUGGACGGCCACACUGGGACUGAGACACGGCCCAGACUCCUACGGGAGGCAGCAGUAGGGAAUAUUGCGCAAUGGACGGAAGUCUGACGCAGCGACGCCGCGUGAGCGAUGAAGGUCUUCGGAUCGUAAAGCUCUGUCCUUGGGGAAGAAGGCGAAAGCUUGACGGUACCCAAGAAGAAAGCCCCGGCUAACUACGUGCCAGCAGCCGCGGUAAUACGUAGGGGGCGAGCGUUGUCCGGAAUUACUGGGCGUGAAGGGUGCGUAGGCGGCCCUUUAAGUCGGAUGUGAAAGCCCGCG
rnacentral:rRNA from 1 species